rnacentral:lncRNA from 1 species
GAAUUUCUUCUUGGUUUAAUAUGAUGCUCCUUCUCCUUGCUUGUCAAAUCCUCAGUAAUCCUCCAAAAUUAGUUCUAACUCUCUUAGGCUCUCAAUUUCUCUCCAUGUUUACUCACUUGGUGGAAUUUUCUUAAAAAAAAAGUGUGUUUGUAUAUAUGUAUAGCUUUGUUAGAGUCUUUUGAUUCCCAUAACCCCCAACUC